rnacentral:rRNA from 1 species
AUUGAACGCUGGCUGCAGGCCUAACACAUGCAAGUCGAACGAGUGGCGGACGGGUGAGUAAUGUCUGGGAAACUGCCUGGUGGAGGGGGAUAAAUACUGGAAACGGUAGCUAAUACCGCAUACCAUCGGAUGUGCCCAGAUGGGAUUAGCUAGUAGGUGGGGUAAAGGCUCACCUAGGCGACUAUCCCUAGCUGGUGUGAUAGGAUGCCCAGCCCCACUGGAACUGAGACACGGUCCAGACUCCUACGGGAGGCAGCAGUGGGGAAUAGUGCACAAUGGGCGCAAGCCUGAUGCAGCCAUGCCGCGUGUAUGAAGACGGCCUUCGGGUUGUAAAGCACUUUCAGCGAGGAGGCGUUACUCGCAGAAGAAGCACCGGCUAACUCCGUGCCAGCAGCCGCGGUAAUAC